CCCUUAGAUGUUCUGGGCUGCACGCGCGCUACACUGAAGCUAUCAACACGUUUUCCCUCCCUGAGAAGGGCGGGUAACCUUUUGAAUCAGCUUCGUGGUAGGGAUCGGGGCUUGCAAUUGUUCCCCGUGAACCAGGAAUUCCUAGUAGACGCGAGUCACAAGCUCGCAUCGAUUAAGUCCCUGCCCUUUGUACACACCGCCCGUCGCAACUACCGAUUGAACGUUUUAGUGAGGCAUUUGGACCGACGCAUCUCAGUUUAACCGCUGGUUUGUGUUGGAAAGACUUCCAAACUUGAGCGUUUAGAGGAAGUAAAAGUCGUAACA
rnacentral:rRNA from 1 species